CUGACCUGCUGAAUGUUUCCAGCAUUUUUUUCUACUCCUGUAUAAAGAAACCCACGAUCUUAACAACUUGUGAUAAAUCCUUCCUAGCUCACAGCAACUAAUCAAGAAUCUGACUGAAGUGCACAGAGACCUAAAACUAGCCCUGAACUGGCAAAAGGGAACCAGGGCAGUUUGGAGCAGGACCUAGAGGGGAUGACUGUGGUCUCCUAGUGGCAUGGAACAGGCUCCACUUCACAGUACUCUUCCAAGGUAUGGCGGGGGAACAUCAGUCACUUCCUCUGGAUCAGGUGCCUGUGAUGCUGCUGCAAGCAAGUUUCUCAUUGUCCCUGUACCUCACCGUACUUGUGCACAGGACUUGACUUGGCAAUGACUCUAGGAGUGUAACACUGUCAGAGAUGUUGCCUUUCAGAUCAAACCAUAAACUGAGGGACCUCCCACCCUCACAGGUGAAUGUUAAGAAUUCAAUAGCUUUACUUAAGAGAAGGCCAGUGAUACUUUGGUGUCUUUGGUGUCCUGGCCAAUAUUUCUCCAUCAAUCAACUGCAUUAAAAAGGCCGCACAGUGGCUUGGACGUCAGAAUGAAGUAAUGAACUGGGUGCAGCUAAAAGCACAAAGAAAGGGACUGCACUAAUAUCAGAUUACUUGUCCUGUUUUUUUAUUGCGGUUUGUGGGACCUGCUGUGUGCAAAUUGGCUGUAAUAUUUCCUUCAGCGAAUGCAAGUCUAAAGUCCCUUAGUUUUCUGUGAAAGGUGCAGUAUAAAAGCACUUCUAUCUCCCUUCCUGAAUGACGCAUGGACCAAUUUGAUCAGCAUAUAACACAUGUAACAUUAAUCUUUCCUCCUAUUAUUUAAAAUAAAGACUUACAAUUUACACUUUACAACCGUGUAAGAUUACACUGCCUGGUGAGAGAUGCGUUAAAAGGUAUAAAGACAUGAAAAGAAGGAUGUACUGCUGAGGCUUUAUAAAGCAUUGGUCAGACUACAUUUUGAAUAUUGUAAGCAAAUUUGCACCCCGUAUCUAAGGAGAAGGAGAAGGUCCAGAGCAGGUUCACAAGAAUGAUCCCAGAAAGGCUUGAUGUAUGAGGAGUGUUUGAUGUCCCUGGGCCUGGACUUGAUGGAGUUCAGAAGGAUGAGGGGGGGAUCUCUUUGAAACCUACUGGAUACUGAAAGGCCUGAAUAGAGUGGACGUGGAGAGGAUGUUUCCAUCAAUAGGAGAGUCCAGGAUCCGAGGGCACAGCCUCAGAGUAAAGGGACGUCCCUUUAAAACUGAGAUGAGGUGGAAUUUCUUCAGCCAGAGGGUGGUGAAUCUGUGGAAUUCAUUGCCACAGAUGGCUGUAGAAGCUGAGUCAUUGAGUGUAUUUAAGGCAGAGAUUGAUAGGUUCUUGAUUGGUGAGGGGGUUAAGGGAUACAGGGAGAAGGUGGGAGAAUGGGGCUGAAAAAGAAUCAUUUAUG